rnacentral:rRNA from 1 species
AGAGUUUGAUCAUGGCUCAGAUUGAACGCUGGCGGCAUGCUUAAUACAUGCAAGUCGAACGGUAACAUACUCUUCGGAGUGAUGACGAGUGGCGGACGGGUGAGUAAUACAUAGGAAUCUACCUAGUAGUGGGGGACAACCUGGGGAAACUCAGGCUAAUACCGCAUGUUUCUUACGAGAUAAAGAGGGCCUCUUCUUGAAAGCUCUCGCUAUUAGAUGAGCCUAUGUCAGAUUAGCUAGUUGGUAGGGUAAAAGCCUACCAAGGCUACGAUCUGUAGCUGGUUUGAGAGGACGAUCAGCCACACUGGGACUGAGACACGGCCCAGACUCCUACGGGAGGCAGCAGUAGGGAAUAUUGGACAAUGGGCGAAAGCCUGAUCCAGCAAUGCCGCGUGUGUGAAGAAGGCCUGCGGGUUGUAAAGCACUUUUGUUUGGGAGGGAAAGCUUAAAGUUAAUACCUUUAAGUGUUGACGUUACCAAUAGAAUAAGCACCGGCUAACUCUGUGCCAGCAGCCGCGGUAAUACAGGGGGUGCGAGCGUUAAUCGGAAUUACUGGGCGUAAAGCGUGCGUAGGCGGUUAAAUAAGUCGGAUGUGAAAGCCCAAGGCUUAACCUUGGAAUUGCAUUCGAUACUGUUUAGCUAGAGUACAGUAGAGGGAAGCGGAAUUCCUAGUGUAGCGGUGAAAUGCGUAGAUAUUAGGAAGAACACC